CCCUUAGAUGCUCUGGGCCGCACGCGCGCUACACUGGUCGAUGCAACGAGUUUCUUUCCUUGGCCGACAGGCCUGGGCAAUCUUUGAACAUCGAUCGUGAUCGGGAUAGAUUCUUGUAAUUUUUGAUCUUAAACGAGGAAUUCCUAGUAAACGCAAGUCACCAGCUUGCAUUGAUUACGUCCCUGCCCUUUGUACACACCGCCCGUCGCACCUACCGAUUGAAUGGUCCGGUGAAAUCUCCGGACUGGCGUGAGUCGGAGCAAUCUGACAAACGCCGGAAAGUUGAUUAAACCUUACCAUUUAGAGGAAGGUGAAGUCGUAACA
rnacentral:rRNA from 1 species